UUUCUUAUAUAUAUAUAUACACACAUAUAUAUUGGGAAAUCUAUCCUAAUUUCUAACUAUAAAACUUUAAUAUAAUGAAAAAUUUAAAUAUGAACAAACAAAAUUAGUUUUUUAUCCAUGAAAAUAGUUGGUUUAAUUAUUCUGUUGAUCUCUAUAAUUUCGCAAAAUUUUCAAUUAGGUCCCUAUACUUUUUUUCCUUUCAAUUGGGUCCCUAUACGUUAAUUUUUUUUUCAAUUUAGUCCCUACCGUCAUAAAACCGUUUGAAAUAACAGAAUAUUCCAUCAAAAAAUUGAAUAUUCUCAUAAUUUGGUUAAAAAAUUUAAUUAAAAAUAUCUCUAUUUUUUGAAAUACCAAAAAUACCCUUUAUAUUUUAUCCCCCAAAAUCAGAGAACUCUAACUACCCCUAAGUUAUUCUCCUAAUUUUCCUAUUGGAUUUCUCCUCCGUCGCACUCUGCUACCACCGUCUUCCAUGGCGUCGUCGUCGUCCGUUGCUGGGUGGUCGUCGUCCCUCUGCCCAUGGGGGCUCUGUUCUGCUCCGCUCGUCCGCCUUGCCUAUUGCAUCCCCUCGUCCUGCCUUGCCUCACUGUGUCUCGGGUGCCUUGUCUCGAGUUGCCGCUCCUCGACUCCCUUUUGCUGUCUGGACUGGUUCUGCAACAACAGGUGAUGAUUGAAUUUUGUUUUAGUUUUUCAACUGUUGGAUCGGAGGAGAUGAAGGGACCAGGUGGCAUGUGGGAAGGAAACCAGUCAGAUGGCUUUCAUUUGUUUGAAUUGCAAAGAUCGGGAGUAGAAUGAACAUGUGGGUUUCUGUCAGCGUUGGGUAAUAAUUCUUAAAACAACUAGUAGUCAAACGGCAUCCUCUCCCGAUUCUAAUGCUUCAGGUACAAUGUUGAGAAAUCUUGAUUGUUAAAUACCUCUAAUUUUGCUUAUGCUUAUUUUUGGUUGCUGCUUGUAUGUAAUUUGACUUUAUUUGAUUAGGUAACCAGCAUCUUGAAUGACAAGGAGAACCAAUUGAUCUAGUUGUGAAGCUUAGUUUGCUAAAAUUAGUUUUGGUUGUGUUAAAAAAUUUUGAUUAUGAGUUCUGAUUAUGUAUUUUAUCUAUAAUUAAUUGAUUAUGUUAGAAAUAAGAAAAGAUGUGAGAUUGGAGAUAAGGUGUUUGAUUAAAUGCCUUUGAGAGAGUUGAAUUGAUUAUGAGCUCUGAUUAUGUAUUUUAUCUAUUAUUAAUUGAUUAUGAGUUUAAUUGAUCAUUGUCAUAGAGGCAUACAGGACUCUCAGACAUCGUGGUUUUAUCCUGCUGCCCAGGUUGUGAGAGAUUUUCAAGACAAAUUUGCGGUUUAUUCCGUUUGACAAUGGUUCUAAAAUCGCGUUUAUUGUUACAGUGAGUAAUCCUUGGUCUAUCUAUUUCCAAGACAAACUUGCAGCUGCAGUGGCUUGUUCCAAUUGACUUGUUGCAGUUGAAGGAAAUUUUGGAUUCGGAUUUAGUGCCAUUGAAGUUGAGAUUAUAAUAUUGCACAGCAUAAUACGAGGGCACAUGUAAUUGCAGAAUCAUGCCGUCAACAGGGAAAUGCUGGCAUGGCAUAUUCACAUCUACCGAAUCAUGCCGUCAACAACAUGAGUAUGAUCAAUGACUUCGAAGUUCAAAGUUUCUGGGUACCUUCCUAGUUCUCAUUCUCAUUUGUCUAUUUUGUCUCUAAAUUGUAAAUUUCAAGUAAAUAAAGUGCACUGUCCCCACUCAGGUGAUUUCGUACGUAAGAUGUGGUCAAUUUCUUCUGAUUUAGUUUUUUUUUUUGGACAUAAAAGUUGCUUUGUAUUAACUAUUAGGACCUAGAAUGUCCUUGUAAACCAAAUUACAAACUUCAGCAGGUAUAUCUCUUUCAGCCAUAUUAAGUUUAGUUGGGUAAAAGCUAAAUUAGCUAAUUUGUGAGCCACCAAGUUUUCAUCUCUCUUAACAUGUGUUAUCUGAAAAUAUCU